GGGAGCUGGGACCAGAAAGGAACAGAAGUUGAACAUGAGUGCACUUAACCUUUGUAUGUGUAGGUGUGUGUGUAUACACACAUGCAUACAUGUACACGUGUUAUGUACACAAGCAUGUAUAAUAUGCACACAUACAUAUAUAGGUGUGUAUCAUUUAAGAUGGAAAGCAUCUGCAUGCAUGCUAACAAUUUCCCUUCCCCUAGAUAUUAACCACUGCAUUGAAUCCUUUUCAUUCUGAGCUGGGAACCAGUGUUAAAAUUAAAACCCUCACACUAGAGUAUUUCAGGCGCUUUCAACCAGUGAUCAAAAAUGGCAGAGGAGAUAAAAAACUAUUCUCCUUAGUUCAGUUCUGUGUCUCUGUCCCUUGUCCAAGCUCAAAGGUUAUCAGUCCUGGCUGCACAUUAGAAUCAUCCAAGGUGCUCCCUCCUAGAACAAUGAAGUUAGAAUGUCUGGUGUGUGGCCCAGUCAUCAGCAUUGUGAAGUCAUCCCCUGUGAUUCUGGCCUGUGGGGGGGGGGGGGGCUGGGGGGAACUGAUUCAUCUGUGCGAUGGGAAAUGAAUGAAUGGCUCAUUAAUACAGAUUAAUUGCCUCAGAAAAAAAGUAUCCCCAAGGCCAGAAUGUGGUGCCAAUCAUGCAGGGAGAGACCUCAGAAGCAGAAAGUGGAGAUCACGUUGCUGGGCUUCUAGGUUUGUUUGGUCUCCGAAUGGAAACUCCUAUAAUUCCAGCAUCGUCUGCCUUAAAGGGUCUGAGGCCUUCCUCACCAACUAAGCCUCUGUGAUGGAGAAGAACAGAACCUGGAACUUGCAUCGAAAGCCUUGGGAUUGGGGCAAGUUGCUGGAUCGCUCGGUGCCUCAGCUUCUUGAUCUUUAAAAUGGAGCGAAUACUGCCCCUCCGGCCAGGGUCAAGGUUACCAUUGUUUGGUGAUAGGAGGUGAGGUCCAGAGAAGAGCCGCAACAGCUCGGGAGCUGGUGAGCAAACAGGUGCUGUGCCCAGAGUCGAGUGAACUGCCUUCCUGCUGACCUCGGAGUUUUGAAGAAAGUUCUACAGACAGCGCUGGCCUGUGCUACUCCCAAAGCACUCUUCCUCGUGGUCUUCCUGUUUCAGAAAUGGAAUCAGGCCAACUGCAAAGACUUCUUUGAGAAGCUGCUUUCAAGUAAAAGAUGAAGCUGUCAUAUCCUGCGAGAGCAGAGUUCUCUGGACUGUGA